rnacentral:rRNA from 1 species
UACGGAGGGUGCAAGCGUUGUUCGGAAUCAUUGGGCGUAAAGCGCGUGUAGGCGGCCUACUAAGUCUGAUGUGAAAGCCCGGGGCUCAACCCCGGAAGUGCAUUGGAUACUGGUUGGCUAGAGGGCGAGAGAGCGAAGUGGAAUUCCUGGUGUAGGGGUGAAAUCCGUAGAUAUCAGGAGGAACAUCAGUGGCGAAGGCGGCUUCCUGGCUCGCUUCUGACGCUGAGACGCGAAAGCAUGGGUAGCAAACAGG